rnacentral:rRNA from 1 species
GCCUGAUGGAGGGGGAUAACUACUGGAAACGGUAGCUAAUACCGCAUAACGUCGCAAGACCAAAGAGGGGGACCUUCGGGCCUCUUGCCAUCAGAUGUGCCCAGAUGGGAUUAGCUAGUAGGUGGGGUAACGGCUCACCUAGGCGACGAUCCCUAGCUGGUCUGAGAGGAUGACCAGCCACACUGGAACUGAGACACGGUCCAGACUCCUACGGGAGGCAGCAGUGGGGAAUAUUGCACAAUGGGCGCAUUUCCUGAUGCAGCCAUGCCGCGUGUAUGAAGAAGGCCUUCGGGUUGUAAAGUACUUUCAGCGGGGAGGAAGGCGAUGCGGUUAAUAACCGCGUCGAUUGACGUUACCCGCAGAAGAAGCACCGGCUAACUCCGUGCCAGCAGCCGCGGUAAUACGGAGGGUGCAAGCGUUAAUCGGAAUUACUGGGCGUAAAGCGCACGCAGGCGGUCUGUCAAGUCGGAUGUGAAAUCCCCGGGCUCAACCUGGGAACUGCAUCCGAAACUGGCAGGCUUGAGUCUCGUAGAGGGGGGUAGAAUUCCAGGUGUAGCGGUGAAAUGCGUAGAGAUCUGGAGGAAUACCGGGUGGCGAAGGC